UAGCCGUGAUGAGGACACAAGUUCAACAAAUCUUUAAACCUCUCCCACACCUGAUACAAAGUCUCACUAUCCUUUUGUGCAAAGGUUUGAAAUCUGUCUCUUCAAACCA